GGCCAUAUAGUGUAGUGGUUAUCACAUCGGAUUCUGACUCAGUCGAGUUCCGAUAACCCAGGUUCGAGUCCUGGUAUGGCCU
rfam:Neolentinus lepideus HHB14362 ss-1 unplaced genomic scaffold NEOLEscaffold_32, whole genome shotgun sequence.